rnacentral:rRNA from 1 species
UAAGGAAUAUUGGUCAAUGGACGCAAGUCUGAACCAGCCAUGCCGCGUGAAGGAUGACGGCCCUAUGGGUUGUAAACUUCUUUUGUACGGGAAAAAAUCCCUGGUCGUGAACCGGGGUUGAUGGUACCGUAAGAAUAAGCAUCGGCUAACUACGUGCCAGCAGCCGCGGUAAGACAGAGGGUGCAAGCGUUAAUCGGAAUUACUGGGCGUAAAGGGCUUGUAGGCGGUUUAUUAAGUCGAGUGUUAAAACCCCGGGCUUAACCUGGGAAUGUCAUUCGAUACUGGUAGACUUCGAGUUGAGUAGAGGUAAGUGGAAUUUCCGGUGUAGCGGUGAAAUGCGUAGAUAUCGGAAGGAACAUCAGUGGCGAAGGCGGCUUACUGGACUCAAACUGACGCUGAGGAGCGAAAGCGUGGGGAGCAAACAGG